GGCCUGGUGAUCUGCUCCUGAUCCUGGCAGGCCAUGGUGCUACUCCUUCCUGUAAUUCCCUCCUCCGGCCGCCACCGUCUCCCUUGCACGCUGCGUGCUGAACACGUGGGACCACACUGGCCCCCGGAGGAAGCUCCUUGCCAGCGGGGCCGAGGACUUCCACGACUUGGUUGCAGAAUGAGCGAAUGGAUGUUUCUCAGAGGAUGAAGGCAAUAAAAGUGAGAUAAUGAACCUAGAAGGGGAUCUGGGGAUAGAAACCACACCUAGAGCCGAGGUAGCUUCCUGUGGGAAGCCCGGAGUGCACUUUGGAGCCACGAGUCCCAGCAUGGCCCUCUGCUGCCUGUGUGUCCCUGGGGCAAGUUAACUUUCCUUUUCUAAGCCUCAGCUUUCCUCAUCUGCAAAGUGGGGGACAGCGGCCCCCUUUAGAGGAUAAUCGGGAGGAUGAAAUAAGGUGAUACAGAGGAGUGUCCAGCCCUGUGCUGAAGGUAGAGCUGGUGGGGCCUGUUCACCCCCUCUUU
rnacentral:lncRNA from 1 species